rnacentral:rRNA from 1 species
CAAGUCGAACGCUCUCGACCUUCGGGUCACAUGAGAGAGUGGCGAACGGGUGCGUAACACGUGAGAAACCUGCCCCGAAGACGGGAAUAACUCGAGGAAACUCGAGCUAAUACCCGAUGCCCUCCUUGGACCGCAUGGUCCGUUGAGGAAAUGCUCCGGUGCUUCGGGAGGGUCUCGCGGCCUAUCAGCUUGUUGGUGAGGUAACGGCUCACCAAGGCAUCGACGGGUAGCUGGUCUGAGAGGACGAUCAGCCACACUGGGACUGAGACACGGCCCAGACUCCUACGGGAGGCAGCAGUAGGGAAUCUUGCGCAAUGGGCGAAAGCCUGACGCAGCAACGCCGCGUGGGGGAUGACAGCCUUCGGGUUGUAAACCCCUUUCAGCAGGGACGAAAAUGACGGUACCUGCAGAAGAAGGUCCGGCCAACUACGUGCCAGCAGCCGCGGUAAUACGUAGGGACCGAGCGUUGUCCGGAAUUAUUGGGCGUAAAGAGCUCGUAGGCGGUUCGGUAAGUCGGGUGUGAAAAUCCAGGGCUCAACCCUGGGACGC